rnacentral:rRNA from 1 species
AUUGAACGCUGGCGGCAUGCUUUACACAUGCAAGUCGAACGGUAACAGGUUAAGCUGACGAGCGGCGAACGGGUGAGUAAUGCAUCGGAACGUGCCCGGUCGUGGGGGAUAACGCAGUGAAAGCUGCGCUAAUACCGCAUACGAUCUGAGGAUGAAAGCGGGGGACCGUAAGGCCUCGCGCGAUCGGAGCGGCCGAUGUCAGAUUAGGUAGUUGGUGGGGUAAAGGCUCACCAAGCCAACGAUCUGUAGCUGGUCUGAGAGGACGACCAGCCACACUGGGACUGAGACACGGCCCAGACUCCUACGGGAGGCAGCAGUGGGGAAUUUUGGACAAUGGGCGAAAGCCUGAUCCAGCAAUGCCGCGAGCAGGAAGAAGGCCUUCGGGUUGUAAACUGCUUUUGUACGGAGCGAAAAGGUCUCCUCUAAUACAGGGGGCUCAUGACGGUACCGUAAGAAUAAGCACCGGCUAACUACGUGCCAGCCGCCGCCGUAA